AACUUCCUACAAGAAGAAAAAUUUUGUUGAAUACUUCACUUCACUUACAAAUGUAAUUACAUGGUUUUAUUAACAGCAGCAUUGGAAUCAUUUGAAUGGCAACUCAUCAAUAUGUUGUCCAACCAGCAUUGCUAUCAAUGCUGCAGUUGUUCCAUCACCAACAAUGGAUUGCGCAUUGAAUAUUUGUGAUUUCAAAUCAUUCUUAAGGUACUUGUAUAUCGGAUCUAGCUUUCGUUGAAAGUGUGCAUGGGAAGUAGAAUCUAAGCCCACCAUCAUAAUGUUCAGUGGUAUUCCUGGUUUCUUUUGAGGAACUCUGUUUAGUAUUUCAUCACGAGAAUUCACUUCCAUGUGAAAUUCUUUUUGAAUUUUAUUAUCUGUUUUGUGAAUCUCGACAUACACCAUGUCUUCGUUAAGGAUCACCUCUGGCUUUGAUGGUGUAAGGGUGCCUUUUUCCUUGACAUUAAACCAUUCUCCAGAGUUGCUACGUCCUGUAAUAACUUCAUAUUCUGCUUUGAUUGCUCUUAAUCUUCCAGCUAGAAAACAACACUUAUCCAUGAGUUUUGGCGCAUCAUGUUACAAGUAUGUUCAUAAUUUAAAAAUUUUUAUACACAAAUAUAACAAACAAAAUUUUUACCAAACAUAAGUUAUGUAGGUGCACAAUAUGUGUAAAUGGAGAAAAUGGGGACCCAAUGAUGUAUGAAAGGAUAAUUAGAGGCUUAUGCAAAUAUGUAUAGAACACUAUAACUCUUUAUCCUUGAUACAUAUCGAAAAUGGUGUUGUGCUUUUUACAUAUUGCAGUUGAUUGUUUUCAUACAUCUUUGAUGUUUGAUGUAUUCUUAGUUGUUAGUACCUACAAGUAAAAGUGGUUUUUUAAACAGGUGCUAUUUUUAUUUUUAAUACCUAA